rnacentral:rRNA from 1 species
UACAGAGGUCUCAAGCGUUGUUCGGAUUCAUUGGGCGUAAAGGGUGCGUAGGCGGCGCGGUAAGUCGGGUGUGAAAUCUUGGAGCUUAACUCCGAAACUGCAUUCGAUACUGCCGUGCUUGAGGACUGGAGAGGAGACUGGAAUUUACGGUGUAGCGGUGAAAUGCGUAGAUAUCGUAAGGAAGACCAGUGGCGAAGGCGGGUCUCUGGACAGUUCCUGACGCUGAGGAGCGAAAGUGUGGGGAGCGAACAGG